UCCGGGAGAUGAGGCUAGUAUCGGAACCUUCGGCCUCAGACGGAGGACGUGGCGUGGCGGCACAGCCCACUUUUCCCUUGCAAGGGAGAGCCACCUUCUCUUGUCCCUUCGUACGGUAAGAAGGCUGGUGUAAUUGGUUUCUUGUAACACAAAGCAGGAAUGUGGGCGGUGAGCUGAUGUGCUGCACCUCGCCUUGUGGGGGUCUGGGACUCUGGGAGUACGCUGCACACUACGUAGUGUGGGACUACGCCAACCUGUCCCUUACCCUGUCCUAUCGCAUACACAAUACACACACGGGUAUGUUCCCCUGCAAAACACACACUUUCAAUUAUUCGCAGUGUAGUGUUGGCUCUCUCCUGUUGGAUUUGGGUUUUGCCCCGCCCCCGCCGGGGUACUACCAGAAUCACGCGUGUCCCUCAGGCUGGGGCCAUCAUCUAGCUCGGUGCACGCGCACCAACAAUGGUGCGCGUCACGGCCAUGUCCACGUCCUAGACAUCCAACUUACGCAUCCUAGCGCGACUCAAGCUGCCGAAGCCAUCUACGUUAGCACCUGCAACGGCCACGUCCCCCCAUCAGUAGACAGGCGCAGGAGCGAAGAAUUCUCCACAGCUGCCGCGCUAUUCCGCACCACCUGUCUAGCACGCAUGGCCCACAGCCACCAACACACAUGCUUGCCGGCUCAGCAGCCGCCGCAGUACAGCCUGCAUGGGGGCGGGGGGGGCAAGGGGGGCAGUUGUUGUUGUUGUUGUGCCUGACCCAAACCUGCCAUUCCUGCAUGCCACCCCAAACCUGCCAUUCCUGCAUGCCACCCCAAACCUGCCCCAGCCCUGACCCAAGCCUGCCCCAAACCUGCCAUCCCAAACCUGACACAAACCUGACCCGAACCUGACCUCGGCCCGCCACGACCCCCACCCGCACCCCCACCAGUGCCAACACCCCCACCAACACCAACACCAGCGCCGCCAGUUCCACUGCAGGGUUGGCAGGGCCUUAGAUUUAGAUAACUAAGGAUAUGCUUAUAUAGCUUAUAUAUAACUUAGACAUUAGACAGAGGCCCCCCGACGACCAUAGUCAACGCACGGUCAAACUAAUGUUGCUGCGGUAUAUAGCAUUAUAUAAGCUUAUCUAAUCUUACCCAAGGUUUAGACUGGGGCCAUACAUGCGGUACGCCGCCCACGUGCCAGGCCCCAGCAAGAUCCUCGCCGCGGGCCUUGAAGCCAGCGACGAGGAGCUGAUCCUGCAGCAGUGCGAGGAGGAGGAGGAGGAGCUGGGGGCGGCGGCGGCGGCGCAGCAGGCGGCGCAGCCGCGCCUGCAGCUGACGGCAGAGGGCAUGCCGUACAUUACGGAGACGGAGCCGCUCGUGGAGUGAACAAAGCGGCCGCCGCAGCGGAGCACGGACAGGAGGCUGCAGCGGAGAGGAAGCUGAGCCAGCUUGAGCAUUCACGCAUUCUUUCAUUAUAUAUGGGGGCUUGACGUAGACUGCGUGGGGUGCAUGGGGCCCCAUAUGGGGAGUCGAAUGAGGCUGAGAGCGGCUGCGGCGGCAUUGACGUGCAUGGGUUUGGGGACCGUCAGGGGCUGGAGUGCAGUGGGUCGGGCAGCACAGGCUUUCGGACUGUUGAUUACAGAAGGGGACGGAGAGAGCAACGCAUUAGACUACUUAGCAGCAAAAACGGCUCAGCCCAUGACCCACUUCUCCUUGGGACACCCCCCGUGUAAGGUGGGCCUGCCUAACUUAAAUAAGCAUAGAUAAGCAUAGAUAAGCUUAUCUAAGGCUUUGGUCCGCGCGGCUAUCUAAGGUUUUGGCCAACCCUGUUCCACUGUGGCCGCCCCUGUUCCCCGCCGCUCCACCCCCCACAGCGGCGCCGUGGUCUUUCACCCGGUGGACAGUCACGCAACGAUGACGUGUACCCUUGCGUGCACCCCGGGUUGGGGGAGGUUGGGUCUCCCUGUUCGAAGGCUGGCCGCACGCAGCGCAUUGCCCUGAGCCUGCUUCCGAUUCCACACUCCUGCCCCCCGCCCAAUGUCGCUGUGUCGCUGUGCCGAUCCUUGCCCGCCGGAGCCCCCAGCCCCACCGAGCCAUCCACUCCAGCGCCUGUCACUCCGCCACCGUAUUUAGCGCCCCCCUGCCGGGAAGGGGUAGUUGGCGACAUUCGACGACCAUAUGCAGCCCCACGCGGCGAGAAUGCGCCCGCGGAAAUGCCCAAUCUUUCUCGCCCGAUGGCCUGCCUCUGGGGGCGUUUCUUGCCGUUCCCUUAAGAUGCAAGCCCUGGCCAAGGCCCUUGCUUGCCCUAGCCGCCUCCGCCUCCAUUGCCGAACGCGGCAGGCUGCGGGAUUUCGCCGCCACCUCUAACCUCUUCCUUGGUGGCACCCCGCCAGCAGCGCGGCCGUUGCCUGCGCCAUGAGGGCACAUCAUCCCGAGCAAGGUCAGCAUUUGGCCGACACGCAAAACCCGCGCUGCUGCGAGCUCCCUCCCAACGCAGUCUCCGAACGGGAGGUGGCAGGGGUAAGAGGCGGUGGGACCCUGCUGCCAGGUGCAGAUGUAAAUGUGUUGGGCAAGUUACACAGGGCACGAGGCGACGAGGGUCAAGGCACACCAGGGCACACUGUCACGGCAGGCGAGUGCAUGCGACACACACACACACACACAAAAAAAAUACCGUAUUGCCACGCUCAAUUGGUGAUUUUAUAAUUGGUGACAGGAAGAAAUCGCGUUGGAAUUAAACAGUCUGACACAGAUUUUGGUGAUGGGCUCUGGCAGAAGCCAGGCCGAAGUACACCCGUGUCACAGAAUUGGUGAUGGGACCCCCCAAAUCGUACCCAGCGUCUCCGGCCCCGGCAGCUGCAACACAAGCCCCGCGCUUGCAGGCGCAGUCAGGCGCUAUCCAGCCAAUGUCCCACAGCUUAAGCUGCUUAGGGCCUUUGGGGGCUACACUGAGCAUUGUGCGUACACUAUUGCUUAGUAUAGGAAUAGCGUCACUAGCCAAAGCAGCCUGUUUGCGUGUUUUCGCCCGACUUGGAUUCAGAGUGCACAGGCAUUGGUGACGGGCUCUGGCAAAUCCUAGUCGACAAUGUUCCCUGCUACCAAAUUGGUGAUUUUCACCAAAUUGGUGUCACCAAUUGAGCGUGGCAGUACGGUAGAUAAACCUUCAUCCUGGGACAGCUCCGACUAACCCCCAACUAACUCGUGUACGGCACCCCAACCCCCCUCAGCCGUACAGGAGGUAGCGUGGCAGUCGGCAGCUGCGCGAGUGUGAGCAGGUAGUUGUAUGGCGGCCGGCUCGGAAGCUACCUGUAUGUAGUGACGCACACGGGCAGUUGGCGCUAGUCGACAGGCGCGCGAGUGGGAGCUGGCAGUUGAGCGCGCACGCGUGUGGGAAGCUGCGUCUGAGCACGGCGGAGCACGGCAGAGGCUGGUGGUUGGCGCGGCGCGCGAGUGGCAGUGCAUAGUCGUGCGCCGUCUGGGAAGCUGCGUGUGUGAGCUGCGUGUAAGCUCAGAGAGACGCAUGGGGCUGCCCCUGUGCCAUAAGCUGCCUCUGGGUGCAAACGCUUUCACACGGU
rnacentral:lncRNA from 1 species